rnacentral:rRNA from 1 species
UCUGUGAUGCCCUUAGAUGUUCUGGGCUGCACGCGCGCUACACUGAUGGAUGCAGCGAGUUUGAGUCUGAUUCGGAAGGAUUGGGAAAUCUUGUGCAAGUCCAUCGUGCUGGGGAUAGACCAUUGCAAUUAUUGGUCUUCAACGAGGAAUUCCUAGUAAAUGCAUGUCAUUAUUGCGCGUUGAUUACGUCCCUGCCCUUUGUACACACCGCCCGUCGCUACUACCGAUUGAAUGGCUUAGUGAGGCCUCUGGAUGCUGGGGGUUGCCGAGAGGCGCCUUUGGGAGAAACUGGACAAACUUGGUCAUUUAGAGGAAGUAA